rnacentral:tRNA from 1 species
UCAGAGUUAGGAUAAAUUUUCUUAAAGUCCAUGUUAUUGUCAUUAACAAAGUAUAUAAGCUUAUUUUAUACUCUGAU